rnacentral:lncRNA from 1 species
CUUCAGAGAUUCUCAGUCUGCUGCGGUUUGUGAGUCACUCUGUCACAGUGCGCUUCUCCGACAUGGAUAGAAAAUGCCAGAUUACUUACAGCAUCUGCUCAGCGCUUCUGGCAACCAAUGAUGUUCUGGUGUCUGUUCUGCAACAACAGUGAACUACCGCAGCAAUCAGCUCGAAAGCUAGGGAAAUUUGCCUUCCAGCUGUGUGUUUAUAAAACACUGGUACCCAAACUGAGCCCACAGCUAGGAGAUGGUACACCUGUUCAGCUGUCACCAGUGUCUGUUUCGAUGUGACGCCGUUAGGACCAGAUGGAGCGUUAUAAGCAUGGUCUCGAUGCUACACGGCACCGCUGUACUGAAACCUUGAAGACUGGCUCUGGGGCUUCAUUAAGGUUCACUGUCCUUGGCUCCAGGACUUGUUUCUGAAGUUCAGCUGCUGGAUGCAGGUGGACAGAGCCUAACCCUGGGAUUCCUUCCAUUAGAAUUACGAGGCACUUCACUUUCCCUGUGGCUCUACAUUCAGAGACCAGACUCGCCUAGGAAUGAUGAUGUCCUUGUUGAGUUGGCUAAUCUUCACUGUCAGCUCAAGUAGCCCUGAAAUUAACUAAAGGGCAAUCUGCUGGGCUCCCUGUGAGGGAUGUUCUUUAUCAGAUUAUCUGAAGUGGGGUUUCCCACCCUGAACUCAGGCAGCACCUUCCAGUGGCC